CCGACUCGCUACACGUCAGAUCGGGCCUUGCUGCUUGGUUGCUGCUUGCUGGAGAUUCACUUCACCCGCACGGCACGUGUCAGCAGCCCAUCACGCCGUUGAACACCUUCCCUCGCCUCAUCAGCGAACCGAGUGAAGGUGGUCGAGUUCUCGUCCCACAGCCCGUCGUGGGCCUAGCGUCGCGGGCGCGAAGCUUUUACGACAGACUAUCCAGCUAUCGACUCGCUCGAACCCUCCCGUUUGGCGCCUUCGUGUCCUCACACCUGCACAUCCCCAGCUCGCUCGCUUUCCUCAAGCGUCAAAGCUCUCCCUCCUCACUCCCUGCACUUCUGCACCUCAACAGCACUCGCAAUCCAUCCGCGCCCGCGCUUCCUCGCACGACUGGUCCACUCUCGCUCGUCCUCCUGCGACACUCGUGCUUUCUCUUCCCGCAGGCCUUGGGCGGAGACGGAUGGAGUGACGAGAACGCUGGAUUGCAACGACGAGGACACAGAUACCGAGGACACGAAACGAGGAGAGACGAGGCCGAGAGUCGAGAGUUUGCGAGAUAGCACAGUGAGAGCGAAAGACAGGCGG
rnacentral:misc_RNA from 1 species